rnacentral:rRNA from 1 species
UACGUAGGGUGCAAGCGUUGUCCGGAGUUACUGGGCGUAAAGCGCGCGCAGGCGGCUCGGCAAGCAUGGCGUGAAAGCCCCCGGCUCAACCGGGGAGAGUCGUCGUGGACUGCCGAGCUUGAGGGCGGUAGGGGUUGGUGGAAUUCCCGGUGUAGUGGUGAAAUGCGUAGAGAUCGGGAGGAACACCCGUGGCGAAGGCGGCCAACUGGGCCGACCCUGACGCUGAGGCGCGAAGGCGUGGGGAGCGAACGGG